rnacentral:tRNA from 1 species
GACGGCGUAGCUCAGUUGGAAGAGCAUUGGGCUAGUAUUCCAAAGGUCUUAGGUUCGAAUCCCACCGUGGCCG